rnacentral:rRNA from 1 species
AUACGUAGGGGGCAAGCGUUAUCCGGAUUUACUGGGUGUAAAGGGUGCGUAGGUGGCAUGGUAAGUUAGAUGUGAAAGCCCAAGGCUCAACCUUGGGAUUGCAUCUAAAACUGCCAAGCUAGAGUGCAGGAGAGGAAAGUAGAAUUCCUAGUGUAGCGGUGAAAUGCGUAGAUAUUAGGAGGAACACCAGUAGCGAAGGCGGCUUUCUGGACUGUAACUGACACUGAGGCACGAAAGCGUGGGUAGCAAACAGGAUUAGAUACCCUGGUAGUCCACGCCGUAAACGAUGAAUGCUAGGUGUUGGCCCUUACGGGGGUCGGUGCCGAAGUUAACACAUUAAGCAUUCCACCUGGGGAGUACGUUCGCAAGAAUGAA